rnacentral:rRNA from 1 species
UACGUAGGGGGCAAGCGUUGUCCGGAAUUAUUGGGCGUAAAGAGCGCGUAGGCGGUCCGAUAAGUCGGCUGUGAAAGUCAGGGGCUCAACCCUUGGAAGCCGGCCGAUACUGUCGGACUAGAGUCCGGAAGAGGCGAGUGGAAUUCCUGGUGUAGCAGUGAAAUGCGUAGAUAUCAGGAGGAAUACCGAUGGCGAAGGCAGGUCUCUGGGCUAUAACUGACGCUCAUGCACGAAAGCGUGGGGAGCAAACAGG